CAGUAGCCGCGGGAAUACGAAGAGGGCUAGCGUUGUUCGGAUUUACUGGGCGUAAAGCGCACGUAGGCGGAUCGAUCAGUCAGGGGUGAAAUCCCAGAGCUCAACUCUGGAACUGCCUUUGAUACUGUCGAUCUGGAGUAUGGAAGAGGUGAGUGGAAUUCCGAGUGUAGAGGUGAAAUUCGUAGAUAUUCGGAGGAACACCAGUGGCGAAGGCGGCUCACUGGUCCAUUACUGACGCUGAGGUGCGAAAGCGUGGGGAGCAAACAGGAUUAGAUACCCCAGUAGUCCCUGUCUCUUAUAC
rnacentral:rRNA from 1 species